rnacentral:lncRNA from 1 species
GAAUUUGUUAGCAUAGUAGCAAACCUUUAUUAUAUGAUGCAUGCAUUCAUAUUCAUGAUUAUGGGCAUAGUAGCAUAGUUUUCCUACUACUGCAUUUACAGCUUUCAGAUACAUAUCUAUCUAUCUAUCUGUUGUUACUUGGGCCCACUUGGACCUAGUGGGGAGAUCGGCAGAGUCGGCGGCCGAGCCCACUGGGAACUAUGGAAGAUAGUUCUCACCCCACUCUAUUUCCAGUGGUAGGUUCAGGGUUGCAGAGAGAGGACCGCGGUAAGGGCGUCGCGCCCGACCAGUGAGACCGUGGUAGUAUAGUAGCUUUCCUUUUUGCAUUAGCACACCUAUGUAUUGAGAGUGAUUCUUGUAGGUGAGAUUGGAGAGCUAUGUAUUUUGAAGAUCAAAUGUAUUCAUUUUGGAAAAUGAUGUAAGGGUAAAGAAUGUAACUAUUGUAAUAGGUAGUAAAGUACUCUCUUUAUUUCACUCGUAUAUCUUGUGGAUUACUCGCUCUUCUUGUUGUUGGCACUGUUUGUGCCCUUGUUGAAUGUGUAUGUUUAGAAUUUAAAGUCCUGGGUAAAUUCUUGUACACAUUCCUGUGGUUGAGCCUUGGGCGGGCAGGGGAGGUGUUGUCCGUUCGGCGGUCGGCCGCGGCGGUCUGUCACCGCGGCCGAAUCGCGCCAAAUUGAUAGUGGAUUCGGGGCGGGGCGUGACAGUCUUUCGUGGUAUCAGAGCAAUAAGAGCAAGUAAAGAGAGUUUAGGAUGACCUAGGAGACCUUAGGUUGGCAAGCCUUAAGGUUAUAGGUGCGUGAGCGGAACGUGAACCUAUGGCGAUGGCGGAAGUUAAUUCAAUUGGGUCGAAGUUGGUAUAGGUCUCUAGUUGAGAUUAGAGUCGAAUUCGAGUUGUAUGAGUUCUUGACUUGAGGUGGUUGUGUCGGCGGCCGACGACAUGAUGCCAAGAGUCUAGGACGAGUACGCUUGUGUGCUUCCGCCCGAUUUUGUUGUUGAGUCGUCGUGUGUCGUGAUUCCGACGAGGAAGUUGGUUAAAGUGAUUAACCNAUUCGAGUUGUAUGAGUUCUUGACUUGAGGUGGUUGUGUCGGCGGCCGACGACAUGAUGCCAAGAGUCUAGGACGAGUACGCUUGUGUGCUUCCGCCCGAUUUUGUUGUUGAGUCGUCGUGUGUCGUGAUUCCGACGAGGAAGUUGGUUAAAGUGAUUAACCAAGUGGUUACGUUUCAGGAGCUAUGGCACCAAAGAGACGCCCAAGUACGAGAUCCACUUCGGCACCGCCAUCCGAGGUGCCCGAGCAGACGGAGCCGAGCAUGAUGGAUCGGCUGCAGGCGCAAGUAACCGCGUUGACCAAUGUGGUGCAGCGCCAGGAGACCCGAUUCGAGAGGCUCCAGGAGCUUAUGGAGCGGCAGCUCGCGGCAGCGCCCGCGACAGUGGCUGAGGGCGGUGGUCCGCCUGCGCCCUCGACCCGUGUACCUGAGGUGGCGGAGGGUGAGGGUAUAGUGGCGGUUCCGGUGACGGCACGUCCACCGCCAGCGAUCGCACCACAGGCGGCAUCGGGAUCGGCUACACCCGAUGUGUCGGCCGAAGAGGUGGAAGGAGAGCGCGCGUUGGCGGCUCUUAUCAAAUUCAACAAGUUCCAUCCGCCAAUUAUCGAGGGCGAGAAGGUGGAACCGGAGAUGGUCGAGUCUUGGAUCGACUCGAUGGAAACCCUUUUCGACGAUUUGCAUACCUUGGAGAGGGACAAGGUGUACCUCGCCACCCAUUGCUUGGAGAAGGCGGUGAAGGUUUGGUGGAAGCGCGUUAAACGGGAUCGGCUUCCCGGCCUUCCGCCGAUGUUGUGGGAAGAAUUCAAGCGGGAGAUGUUUGCUAACUAUUUCCCCGAUACACUGAAGCGGAAGCUCAAGGAGAAAUUCUGCAAGUUGGAGCAAGGGGACCGCUCAGUGGUGGAGUAUGAACGAGAAUUCUCCCACAUCAUAGAUUGUGUCCCAGAUGUUGUCAAGGAUGACCGGGACCGGGCCGAGUGGUUCUUGCGAGGACUUCGGCCGGGAAUCUACAAGGCCGUGCAAAUACUUAAGCUCACAACCUUUGCUAAGGUCUUUGAUCGAGCGCUAUGGGCAGAGCACGGAGACGCCCACGUUCGGGAGAAGUGUGAGCUUUUGGUGGAGUCCAAGGAUAAGGGCAAGAAACGCCAAGGCGGCGGUAGUACUGGUGGUCCAACGCGAUAUAAGAAACCCCCGAAGUAUCCGCGCACUCAACAGAAAGGCGGUGGAGCGCGGCGAUGCAUUGUGUGCUGCGGAGAUCACCCGGUCUCGCGCUGUGAACAAGGCCGAGGCAAGUGCUACAAGUGUGGGCAGCCGGGGCACUUCAUUCGGGAUUGCCCGGGAGGAGGAGCCUCACCUGCCCCAUCGAUUGCAUCGGCGCCGGCGGUUCCGGCAUAAUAUGGAGGAGCCCCACCGACGGCCGCGUCGACAGGACGCGCGAUGGCGUCGCGUCAACCUGAGAUGGCACGAUCGGCCCCGAGCGGACGGGUAUUUGCCGCUCAGGUCCAGGCCGAGGAACCUGCGGAGGCGGAGGAGCAUCGCCUUGUGGCAGGUAUGGUUUUAAUUAACGGAGUUCGCUCCAGGGCUUUAUUUGAUACAGGAGCCACGUAUUCAUUCAUAAGUAGAUCAUUCGCAUGUAUGCAUGGCAUACAUAUAGAAGCGAGCGACAAAUGGCGAGUAGAGGGCCCUGGGUCGACAUUUAAUACCUACACGGAGUGCGCCUCGUGUCCGGUGCAAAUAGGCGAAUGGAUUAUGCCAAUCCGGACGUUGGAACUCACGAAACUAGAGGCGUACGAUGUCAUAUUGGAUAUAGACUGGCUUUCGAAGUAUCAUGCAACGAUCGACUGCAAGAGCAGGGUGAUCACGUUCCUUGAGCCAGGACGAGAAGAAUUCACCUAUCAAGCUUGCCAGAGCUCGUGCUUCGUCGCGACGGUGUCGGCGACAAGGGCAAGAAAGUUGGUGAGCAACGGUUGUGCGGUAUUUUUGGCAACUGUUGUGGAAGUGGAUCGAGUAGCUCCAACGUUGGAAGAGCUAUCGGUGGUGCGGGAGUUCCCGGAUGUGUUUCCCGCGGAGUUGCCCGGGAUACCGCCGGAUCGGGAGAUCGAGUUCGUUAUAGACUUGAUUCCCGGCACCGCACCGAUCUCGAAGGCCCCGUACCGCAUGGCGCCGGCAGAAUAAAGGAGUUGAGGAGUCAACUGCAAGACCUCCUCGACAAGCAAUUUAUCCGGCCAAGUGUGUCACCGUGGGGAGCCCCGGUGUUGUUUGUACGGAAGAAGGACGGAUCGUUUCGACUCUGCGUGGACUACCGAGAAUUGAACAGAGUCACGAUCAAGAAUAAGUACCCACUACCCUGAAUCGAUGACUUGUUUGAUCAGUUGCAAGGGUCGUGCGUGUACUCGAAGAUAGAUUUGCAAUCCGGCUACCACCAAUUGAAGAUCAAGCCGGAGGAUGUGCAGAAAACUGCGUUUCGUACGCGAUAUGGACAUUACGAAUUCACGGUCAUGCCAUUUGGACUCACGAAUGCUCCAGCGGCAUUUAUGGAUUUAAUGAACCGUGUCUUCAAAAAGUAUUUGGAUCGAUUUGUCGUGGUUUUCAUAGACGACAUAUUGGUCUAUUCGCGUAGCGACGAGGAGCAUGCCGAGCAUUUGAGAUUAGUGCUUCAAGUCCUCCGGGAGGAGAAGCUAUAUGCUAAGUUGAAGAAGUGUGACUUCUGGCUCCGAGAAGUCGCAUUUCUAGGGCAUGUAAUUUCCGCGGGUGGAGUUUCUGUAGACCCGAGGAAAGUUGAGGCAAUCAAGGAUUGGCCGCGCCCGACGAAUGUCACGGAGGUUCGAAGCUUCGUGGGCUUAGCGGGCUACUAUAGGCGGUUCGUGGAAGGCUUUUCAAAGAUAGUGAUUCUACUUACUCGUCUGACCCAGAAAGGCACCAAGUUCGUUUGGAGCGAAGAAUGCGACCGGAGUUUCAAAGAGUUGAAGCAAAGAUUGACUUCGACUCUGGUGCUCGCUCUUCCGGUGCAGGGCGAGGACUUUGUGGUCUAUAGUGAUGCCUCCUAUCUUGGGUUGGGGUGUGUGUUGAUGCAAAACGGGAAGGUGAUUGCCUACGCGUCCCGUCAGUUGAAGAGCUAUGAAAAGAACUACCCCAUCCAUGAUUUGGAGCUAGCGGCGGUGAUUUUCGCCUUAAAGCUGUGGAGGCACUAUUUGUAUGGUGCCCACUGUGAGAUCUAUACCGACCACAAGAGCUUGAAGUACUUGUUUACUCAGAAGGAGCUCAAUAUGCGUCAACGGCGGUGGUUGGAGCUGUUAAAAGAUUAUGAUGUCGAUAUCCUCUACCACCCCGGGAAGGCAAAUGUGGUCGCGGAUGCGCUGAGUAGGAAGUCGGCGAAGAACCUCGCAUUUGACAUUACCCAGCAAACACUCUUAUGGCUGGAUAUGGAGCGAUUAGACCUCGAAGUGGUUGCUCCCGAGGUCCCUACUCAGUUGAUGGCACUCGUUGUCCAACCGACCUUGUUGGAGAGGAUCAAAGAUCUGCAACACACAGACCCAGAACUCCAAAGGGUGCGGCGAAACAUCGAGGAAGGGCGUGGCGGCGAUUUCAGUAUAAACGCCGAUGGCGCGCUUCGGUUUAGAAACCGAUGGUGUGUGCCGAAUGAUGGAGAGCUUCGCGAAUUGAUUCUACAAGAAGCACACAGAUCUCCGUAUGCUGAUCACCCGGGCGGCACCAAAAUGUAUCGAGGAUUGAAAAUGCAUUAUUGGUGGCCGGGAAUGAAUGGUGAUAUUGGACGCUUUGUGGCGAAAUGCUUAACGUGCCAACAAGUGAAGGCAGAGCGUCGAUUUCCAGCGGGAAAACUUCAAAGCCUACCAAUCCCCGUUUGGAAAUGGGAGGAUAUAUCGAUGGACUUCGUGGUCGGCUUGCCUCGCUCAACGAGCGGCCACGAUGCAAUUUUGGUAAUUGUGGACCGAUUGACGAAGUCGGCUCAUUUCUUGCCGAUCCACACCACGUGGUCGGGUGACAAGUUAGCGCAGGUAUACCUCGACGAGAUAGUGAGACUACAUGGGGUGCCGAAAUCGAUCGUAUCGGAUCGUGAUCCCCGGUUCACUUCACACUUUUGGAAAAACCUGCAAGGAGCCCUUGGCACGCGACUCGAUUUUAGCACCGCAUUUCAUCCCCAGACCGAUGGGCAAACAGAGAGAACAAUUCAAACUCUGGAGGAUAUGUUGCGAGCGUGUGUCAUCGACUAUAAGGGAAAUUGGUGCGACCAUCUACCCAUGGCCGAGUUUGCCUACAACAACAAUUACCACGCUAGUGUGGAGAUGGCACCGUUUGAGGCUCUUUACGGGCGGACGUGUCGAUCUCCUAUACACUGGAGCGAUGUUGGCGAGCGCGCUGAGUUCGGCCCAGAUGUUUUGCGAGAAGCGGAAGAGAAAGUCCGCCUUGCUCGCAAGAGAUUGCUCACGGCGCAGUCGAGACAGCAAAGCUAUGCGGAUAGGCGUCGUCGGGAUAUAGAGUUCGCGGUGGGUGACCGCGUAUUCCUGAAGGUUUCACCAAUGCAGGGUGUGAAGCGGUUUGGAGUGCGGGGAAAGCUAAGUCCCCGAUAUAUUGGACCAUAUGAGAUAUUAGAGCGAGUCGGCUCGGUGGCCUACCGGCUUGCUCUACCGCCGAAGCUUGCGGAUGUACAUAACGUGUUCCAUGUCUCCAAUCUCCGCAAGUACAUUCACGACCCCGAGCACGCAAUGCUAUAUGAACCACCGGAACUUCAAGAAGACUUGAGCUAUGAAGAGUUUCCGGUAGGGAUUAUCGCCCGAGAAGUGCGAAAGUUGAGGAAUCGAGAAAUCCCCUAUGUGAAGGUUAGGUGGAGCAAUCAUGAUGAUCGCGAAGCCACCUGGGAACUCGAGGAUCUGAUGAGAAAACACCAUCCUCAUCUAUUUGAGGAGUAAGGUGCGGAUUUGAAUUAAAAUAAAGAAUUGAGUUAGUUUCGAGGACGAAACUCCUUUUAAGGAGGGGAGGACGUAAGGAAGUGAAUUCUCGAAAUGUGAGGAUUGUACUCCAUCCAGAAUCGACUAAUUGUCGAGAGUAUACCCUUUUUGGGAGUUGGGAAUGUCCAAAGCACAAAAAGUGCCUUGGAGUUGAGUCCGCGAGAGCAAAUGAGGCAAAUGGCAUCAUUGGGCUGAUGUUGCUCUCGGGGACUGGUCUCUGCAGGUGAGAGACCGGUUCCCCUGGCUGGAUGUAGCGGGGUUGCGUGAUGCAACCGGUCCCUGACAGGGAGGGACCGGUUCCCGAACGUGGUCCCAGCGAGAGAUGCCAAAAAUUGGCUAAGUCCUGAAAAUCGAGCUCUCGGGGACCGGUCUCCUAGGUGAGGACCGGUCUCCCGGGGAGAGACGGUUCCCGAACGCGUGCGCCCGAGGGAAGCUCUCGGGGACCGGUCCCAAGUCGGGGAGACCGGUCCCUCCGCGCGAAAACUGCCCAGUAAGGGCGGUGCACAAGGGUGAAAGUUGAGGGGCUUUUAUGCAAAAUGGCCUUUAUUUGAGUGGGCUGAGCCCUCUCACUCCCUCACACUCUCUCUUUCCUCUCUCUCUCACUCUCAUUUUUCUCUUGCUUUCUCUCUCUCUCUAGAGAUAACAAGGAGAGAGAAGAAGAAGAAGGAGGAGAAGAAGAAGGAGGCUAGGAGCAUCUUCCUCUCCCUCUCCUCUUCCCAUUAGUGUAGCUCAAGAGGUAAGCUACAACCCUAGCUUCUAGAACUUAGGGUUUUUGGGUUUUAUGCUUUGGAAUGGGUCAAAUGAACCCUAAGCUAGCUUCUAAAUAGAUCAAUCCCAAGAAUCUAGGGAUUUAUGGGGUGGUUUGCUAUAGGUGCAAACCUAGAGCUCCAAAAUGGGGUUUUUGUAAAUGUAUGAGACUGAUCUCAUUUGAAGCAUGGGAAACCCUAUUGAUAGGUCCCAAAACGCGGGGGCAAAGUCGAUUUUGGCAUUCGGCGAACCGACGUGAAGUUCUCGACAAAAACGGGCCGGGCUAGUGUUGAUUCGGGCGAGGAAGGCUAAAGCCUAUUCGUAAAGCUCGCCGAGAGAGAUUUCCGAAACCUCUACAUCGAUUAAAGGUGGGGGGUGUCAUCCGAAACUUUCGAACUCCUUUCUAUGUCUUAGAUUGCAUUUUAACCUCAUCUCUUCAUGCUGCAUGGUAGGAUUGCAUAGUAGUACCAUUCCUUGCGCUUUCUAAAUGAUAACCUAGUGUACUUGGAACGCUUGGUAGCUAGAUAGGUGAGGAUUGGGUCGGAACGUGGAUCCUAUGAUGCUAGAGAUAGAGAUGAACCCGAUGGGGGUAUUGAUGACAUAGAAAGUAGUGUUAGUGUUAAAGAACAAACGAGUGGCAUCCAAAUAGUAAAUGAUAACGAGUGGCAUUAAUGUAGUGUAAAUAACACUAGAGGUCGAUGGACCUAGGGAUAGGUGGAUCCCUUAGAAAAUGCCUUGUGAAUAAUGAAUUUAGAAAACUAAAUAGCAUUGCAUGAAUGUCGAGAACAAGAUCCCGCGAGAGAUAUUGACCCUAGUUGUAGAGCAUCCUCACUUGGAGAGGGCUUUAUUGUGUUGUUGACCCUAGAUGUAGGGCAUCCUCACUUGGAGAGGAUAGAUCUAGCUCACAGUCUGCGUUUGGGAUGGUAUAGCCAUCCAAUCCCCACAUGGAGGGGAUUGUCGUCGAGUACUCCGGAGUGUCAUGCGACUAGGACCACUUGGAGGUCCGGACCACAUGGAGGUCCGCAGACGGUCCCGGGCUUGGGUGCACUUGGAGCCCCUCCCCACUUAGGGAUUUAAAGGUGAGUCAUGGGCGAGCCCAAGGACCUCGCCACAGAUUGGGUAAAGAAAAGUUAAAGGUUUAAAAAUGACAUUGAACAUUACUAUUCGAACAUGGAUCGAAUUUGUUAGCAUGGUAGCAAACCUUUAUUAUAUGAUGCAUGCAUUCAUAUUCAUGAUUAUGGGCAUAGUAGCAUAGUUUUCCUACUACUGCAUUACAGCUUUCAGAUACAUAUCUAUCUAUCUAUCUACCUGUUGUUACUUGUGCCCACUUGGACCUAGUGGGGAGAUCGGGAGAGUCGGCGGCUGAGCCCACUGGGAACUAUGGAAGAUAGUUC